rnacentral:rRNA from 1 species
AACGCGAAGAACCUUACCUGGGUUUGACAUGCCUCUCUAAACCGGUGAAAGCCGGUGAGUGUAGCAAUACACAAUUGGCACAGGUGCUGCAUGGCUGUCGUCAGCUCGUGUCGUGAGAUGUUCGGUUAAGUCCGGCAACGAGCGCAACCCUCGUCCUUAGUUGCCAGCGGGUAAUGCCGGGGACUCUAGGGAGACAAACCUCUUAUAGAGGUGGGAAGGUGGGGACGACGUCAAGUCAGUAUGGCCCUUACACCCAGGGCUGCACACGUGCUACAAUGCUUGGCACAGAGGGAUGCAAAACCGCGAGGUGGAGCCAAUCCUCAAAACCAAGCUCAGUUCAGAUUGGAGUCUGCAACUCGACUCCAUGAAGCCGGAAUCGCUAGUAAAGGCGUAUCAGCAACGGCGCCUUGAAUACGUUCCCGGGCCUUGUACACACCGACAUA